rnacentral:lncRNA from 1 species
GCGCAGCACUGAAAGAUGCAAGUGACAUCGUGAAAAGAAUACAGAAAAGAGAUUUGUACAAGUGUGUUAGCAAACACAUUGUGAAGGAGGAUUUUAAUCGAAAAAUGAUUCCACAAAUUAAACAAGAAGUUCUAAAAACAGGCUGGGAAAAAGACAUUUGAUGAACAGCAGUUUGAAAUCAUUGUGGUGUCUUUUGAUUAUGGACGAGGAAACGCUGACCCAGUAGCAAAUGUUCCUUUUUAUAGGAAAUCCGACGUUCAGAAAGCUAUCUAUCUGACGGAAGAAGAGAAACCACAGAUGCUGCCAAGAACAUUUCGAGAAUGUGCAGUUGCUGCUUAUUCCAAACACAGACAGUUCGAUGAUGAUCUCAAAAGCUGCUUUGAUCAAUGGUUCACCGAGGAAUAUUCAAAGAACCAAAGCAGAUAUGCCACUGGGCAAGUUCGAACCUUCAAGGAACUAAAAUUAUACAUGAUGGAGUAACUGUCUACGACUUCACACAGGAGAAUGUGACGAGCAGCCUUAACCAUAUCAGAACAAAAUAGUCAUGGCGUGCUCUGCAGUUGGGAACACGGUGACAUUGAUAAUCCAUGUCAACCAGCCUUGACCAUUCAACGUCGGUUGCCUCUUACAGGGCUCCAGUAGCAAAAGCACAAACUUGAAUAGUUAAACUGAGA